rnacentral:rRNA from 1 species
GUCGAACGGACCGUAUACGCAGCUUGCUGCGUGUAUGGUUAGUGGCAGACGGGUGAGUAAUGCAUAGGAAUCUACCUAGUAGUAUGGGAUAGCCACUAGAAAUGGUGGGUAAUACUGUAUAAUCCCUGCGGGGGAAAGAUUUAUCGCUAUUAGAUGAGCCUAUGUCAGAUUAGCUAGUUGGUGGGGUAAUGGCCUACCAAGGCGGUGAUCUGUAGCUGGUCUGAGAGGAUGAUCAGCCACACUGGAACUGAGACACGGUCCAGACUCCUACGGGAGGCAGCAGUGGGGAAUAUUGGACAAUGGGCGCAAGCCUGAUCCAGCUAUGCCGCGUGAGUGAGGAAGGCCUUAGGGUUGUAAAACUCUUUCAGUGGGGAAGAUAAUGACGGUACCUACAGAAGAAGUCCCGGCAAACUCCGUGCCAGCAGCCGCGG